rnacentral:snRNA from 1 species
AUGUCAAACUAUAGCAUAACCAUGAUCACGAAGGUGGUUUUCCCGGGGGAAAGCUUAUCCAUUGCACUCCGAUGUGCUGACCCCUGUGAUUUCUCCAAAUGUGGGAAACUCGACUCCAUAAUUUGUGGUAGUGGGGGACUGCGUUCACGCUCUCCCCUG